UUUGCCUUGUCUGCCUGUAACUCUCGCAAGCGCUUUCGUUUUGCUGAUGCCAUAAGAAAACGCACACCAGUAGCCUUUGGUAGCAAGAGCAAAACAAACCUGAAAGAUGUUGUUGAUGGUUUAGAAACUAAGAUUGCAGAUAUGAGGGAAUUUGUCAUUCUCCUUGGUAGCCAGACUCGUCUACCACGUCAGCCUUACAGUACAUAUCUAUACAUAGAUAACUGUAUGUUUGGUCGCCGUAUUGAGAAGGAGCAAGUCAUCAAUUUCUUGCUUUGCAAUGAUCCUCAUGAUCCAUAUGUUAGCAUUCUUCCUAUUAUUGGCCCUCAAAGGAUUGGGAAAAAAACUCUUGUGCAACAUGCUUGCCUGGAUGAGAGGGUGCGCAACUGCUUCUCCCAUAUAUUUUUCUUUAAAGAAGACAAUCUGAAGACCGGAGAGCUCUCGCUUAACUCCAAGGCUUCUCAAGGGAAAUAUUUGUUUGUUAUUGAGUUCAUUUGGGAUGUGGAUGAGGCAGCUUGGACAAAAUUUCAAUCAUAUUUGCAGAAUAUGCCCGGUACUGGAAUUAAGGUUGUAGUGAUAGGUACAACAGAGGACAUUCUUAAGUUUGGGACAGCCCAACCCAUCAGGCUGAAGAGGCUGUCUGAAGAAGAGUACUGGUACUACUUCAAGGCGCUUGCCUUUGGAAGUAUGGACCCUGAUGAGCAUCCAAAGCUAGCAUCUCUGGGUAUGCAGUUGGCUACUGAGAUGAGGGGAGGAUUUCUUGGUGCGACCGUAGUAGGUGGACUAUUAAGAGCUAAUCCCAGCACCCAGUUCUGGCAGAGCAUGUUAUUAUGCAUAAGAGAGGUGGCACAAAAGCACUUGUCUUCCUUUGGUGUACACCCUGAAGAUCUUCUUGAAAGAAAUGCCCCUCUUGAUUUCACCAGGGUAGCCUUUGUGGGUGCUCAAGUUCAAGGCUGCCUGGUUUACGAUGUUAGGGUGGCUGGCCCUGGAAGUGAGCUACCAAAACUAACAUCACAAGAUUUGAAACUGGGUGCUGAUAUUCCUGCUGAAGACAAGUUUGAUGUGCUGGUAUGGAAAUCCCGCAUCCCACCGUACUCUAACUACAUAGUUACUUAUGAGAAACAAAAACGACGGUACAAGGUUGGCAGGAGGAACCAUCAAGCAUUGAGAGAAAUAUAAGCAUAACCCUUAAGCUGAUGGAAACUUUCUACGAAGGAAUUAAUUAUAUUGUCGAUGGUAUAGUUCGAAAGGCUGUCUAUGCCAUUGACAGAUUCGAACUACUAUUGAAAUUGUUCAAACAGUUCAGGUCUAAGUAGCACAUGUAUUGGUCAUAAACGUUUUUCUUUUCUAAAGAAAACUCUGUUUCUUCUCUUAUCAGUUUGGAUAUGCAAGAUGCAGUUAAUUCCUAUUGCUAUCUGACUAGUAUUAUAUAUGUGUGUGACAGAAAUGUUUUCAAAAUAUUGUACUUCAAUGUUCUGACUAUGAUGCCCUAUGUAUGGCCAAUUUAGUGUUCUUCUCAAUUAGUUUCAGCCCCUUUCAUCAGUUCCAUCGUAGUCACAGCUGACUUUAUAUACUUCAACUACCUUACUAAUAUGUUUUUUUUUACAGACAUUCGUUUAGAUUAAUUUCUUCUUGGUUUAGUCUUUCAUGCUGCUCGAUCUCCUCUUGGAUGUUGAGAAAUCCAGAUUUCUUUUUGGAAGAUUCUUCUAUUCCUCUCCUUCCAAUAUUUGUAAAUUACCAGGCUAUUAAACUUCCUCUUCAUCUCUUUUUGGUAUGCUAGGACAUGCUGCCACCAGCUUGUAAAACUAUCAACAAGUUUUGGUCGGAUUUUAUCCAUGUUUUUGCAAUUUACUCACCUCAAAACAGGGUCCCAAACUUCCUGAUCAUUAGGGUGAAGAAGAUGCAUGGCAGUCUUGCAUGUUUGUUGCAGAUGAUCGGAUGGUGUGGCCUUGCUCCGUUGCUCGCGUAGCCAAAUUAUUAUCGGCUGUUAAGAUCUUGUUCUGAUUUGCAAUCCCAGUGAAGAAUCUGCAUUUGUUUACAGUUUGGGUCUUCGAAAUAGAGUUAUGAGGCUACCUUGGAAUUCCACAAGGUAGACUGACUGUGUGGAAUAUUCGGACAUCCACAACCACAACACACUACAUUGUCAUCAUUGUCAGGCUGAAGAUAAAUGCCUUUUAUUUCAAUCCAAAGCUUGACAUGUUGAAAGGAUUUUUUUUAAAUGCCUUUUAUUUCAAUCCAAAGCUUGACAUGUUGAAAGGAUUUUUUUUUUUUUUGCUUGGGUUGUCUGAAUUUUUCCUCACAGAAUGUAUCAAAUGAUUGUUUAUUUGUUUCCUUUUUCUUUUUGCAUGGUUCUAUUUUUUUUUCUGGUGGCCGGUAAGAACAGUUGGCAAUGGUUAAAGAACUUCGUUCUGGGUGGAUAAAUGGAUAGGGAGGCAAACUACUGCUGAUGCCUGAUAACUUCCAUUGGUUAUAUAACAUGACUUUUAAUAAAAAGACCUAGGUGACAGAGGUGAUGAAUAGUAAUUUUUGGACCUAUGAAGCUUAGACGAACUCUUUUGUAGGGAAACCAGGAAAAUGUCGAUUGAUUUGAUCAAAUCUUUUUUCUCAUACAAAUUGUCAGAAGAAGAGGAAUCCUCACUUUAGUCACUUUGUAACCAUUUCAGUCUCUCCUGUGUGACAUGUUUGGGGGGGACAGUCCUUUCGGUAUCUCCUGUGUAAAUUCUCCUUAAUAAAAUGAAGCGCAGCCUUCUUUCGCUUUUGAGAAAAAAAAAACUUUGAAACCUGGGAGAGGUCGAAUUCUUUAGGGUGAGAAGGGCUGUGUUUAGAUCCAAAAUUUGGAUCCAAACUUCAGUCCUUUUUCAUCACAUCAACCUGUCAUACACACAACUUUUCAGUCACAUCAUCUCCAAUUUCAACCAAAAUCCAAACUUUGCGCUGAAUUAAACAAAGCCAAGCUUUUACUAGAUUAUUUUUUUCCGGGUUGGCCAAAAGGUGGGAUUUUAUACCAGAUUCUGAAAGCUGGCAAUACUCUUUUUCCACACAAGAAUUUGUGUGGAGUUCAAAUCCUUAUGAAAAAUAAAAAUUUCCUCAGCUUGUUCUGCUGAACAGAGGUUGGAAAGGUCUCAGGUGUCAAAUUUGUGGUGUGAAGAUGAAAUCAUUGACUGUUUCCUUUUACCUGUUUCUACGGCAAAAUUUGUAGGAAGGAUGGUUAGGGUGUGGCUUCUAAGUUCUCUUCCACACUGAUCAACUUUUUUUUAUUGUCUCGCAGGAUUCACCAUAUCAUGCCAGAUGUCUUGUUUGACAAUCACGCUGUAUUCAAUGUACAAAGCCAGGAAUAAUUCAUCAUAAACAAGUUGAUUAGUAAACCCAAUGGAUGACUAGACUGGUUUAUAAAAGAGUAAACUGUGUCUACAGUACAUAAACUUGGUAGCAGAGUAUAGUCUAAUGCAAGAACUUAAAAAAUAAGCAUAUAGGUGCAAUAACUUGGCUAGUGCGUGUAUUUUGGUUAAAAUAUCAAUAUUCCAUACCAUACUUUUUAUGCUAUAUAAAAAACCAGCCACUCAAGCUAUCUCCACAAGAAUCUACAUGUAUUAUGUAUUGCUUUGAAUUGCUUAGUUAUAAUAAUAAAAUAAUCUAUUGAUUUGAAACUAAAAAAUAUAUGAUAUCAAAAGUAACUGCAUGCAAACUAAUUAAUAUAAUUUUCGAGCGAUUCGACUAAUCAAUAUAUUCAUUGUCUCGGGUGACGAAAAUGGCAAAACACAAAAUUGAAUCCAUGAGCCAACGAUUUAGCAGUUAACCUUAAAAUAUUAGGAUUAAUCAAAGGUAUGUAUCAGUGUUUUUAAACUAAAAUUCCAUGAUUGCCAAAUUCAUGUACCAGUCUACUUAUUUUUCAAGUUCUUACACUAGAUCACACCCACCUAUCAAAGUUCCUGUAUCGUGGGUGUAAUUUAUUCUUUAUAAAAUAUGUUGAUUACUCAUUUAUUAUUCCAUUUGCAGAUAAGGAGAUAGUCAGAAACACUUUCAUUCUACUAGACCAAGUCGUAAAAACGAUUUCUUUGAUGGUAAGUGAAGAUGAUGGAUAAUUGGAGAUCAACAAUUCACAUGCUGUAGAAUAUCUAACAAAAAUGUCUUUAGUGUCAUAAAUUCGUAGUAAUAGGAUGUGUCAUACUCCCUCCGUUCCACAAUAUAAGGGAUUUUGAGUUUUUGAUUGCAACGUUUGACCACUCGUCUUAUUUAAAUUUUUUUUGCAAAUAUAAAAAACAAAAAGUUGUGGUUAAAAUACUGUAGAUAAUAAAGUAAGUCACAAAUAAAAUAAAUAAUAAUUUUAAAAAAGUUUAAAUAAGACGAGUGAUCAAAAAUUGUAAGAAAAACUCAAAAUCCCUUAUAUUAAGUUAGUUUUUUAUGGGAUGGAGGAAGUAGACGGCAACCGGUGUCGGCGAUAUGGUGCAAACAGAAGAAAACGACGGCGGACGGCCCAUAUCGUCUGAAGGAGCUCAGCCCAUUUGAACCCAAUGUGUGAUCGCUAGUUCGCUACUGGUAGCUAUCAGUAUUUUUAUAAAUAUACCCCUAUGGAAUGGAUGGAAUUACACAAAAUGACCCCUUUCUACAAUCACAAUGGCAGCGAAACGGAGUUUUGCGGAAAGGUCCCUACCGUUUUUGCAAAUCAUCCCGCCGCCGCCGCCUCCGGUCGGUCGCCGGGAUGCAGCGCGGGCGGCGGCGGCGGCGGAGGCGGAGGCGGAGGUGAGGUUUUCGCCAUUGGCCGCCCCAGAAUUUCAAUAGAGCGCUGGAACAAGAGGAAAUCGGCGUAAAAAAAUAUCAGAGGAAAACAUAGAGAGGAAGGUGGUUUGACGGAGGUGUGCGUGGCCUGGGAUUCUCGUCGGAGGCCACCGGAUUCGAGGUUUGCUCCGGUCACUCGCCGCCGCGCGCCCCGGUGAGUCGACACCUUUAGAGCUUUGGAUCUGGCUGUGUGCAUGCAUCGGGAUUUUGCAACUAAUCUGGUGAUAGUAUCGAUAGAUAGCUUGUGUACAGUUUCGUGCGAGAUCUACAACUAAUCUGAUUGGCAAUGUUCAUCUUCUUUGGCUACGAUCAUGCUGGUCAUUAUGGUUUAAUCUGCUUGAACUAAUCCCUCUAGAAAGUAUACAAUUGAGUCAGGAUUUGUCAGUUUUUUUUUCUAUUGGCAAUGUUCAUCUUCUUCGGCUGGAUAGUAGUAUGGUAUAGUAGCCACUUUUGCUUAAUUAAAUGAUUUAAACCCAUCAUUCCAUUAGUCCUUCGCUCUUGAUAAGGCGGCGAGAACAACUUAGUGAGUUGCCACUUACUAUGUUACAAGGAAUUUACCUGGGGUGUAAACACUGUCAACCUCACUACAAAUGGUACUGUUUGUAAGCACAUUGAAAAUAUCUUCCUCUUGGAAGGCUGAGCACAAACUAUUUUACACCUGAAUGCAUGUAAAUUCAUGUCUAUUUCAAAGGAAAGAAAGGAACAUAGCUGUUAAAUCAUAUCUAAUUACCUCUUCGUAAAGGAAGGAAUUACAGCUUUGACAAUUGACCUCAUACAUCAAAAGGCUGUGAUCUAUUCACCAAUUGUCCAAUUCUCACAACUACUGCAAGCUACUACCUCCAUUUCAUAUUAUAAGUCAUUUUGACUUUUUUUCAUGUUAUAUUCAUGUCAAACUGGUAUAUGUCUCUACACCAUCUCUAUAUAGAAUAAGUGUUUCUUUUGAAAACAUAUUCUUUUGUAUCUGCUCUUGUUAAUUUGAAUAUUUGAAAGCAGUCAGUUAGACAGUUACUAUUGCUGCUCUGUCUAGUACCAUAUUCAUGAAAGGAACCUUUUGAAAAGAAACUAAAUACUUUAUAGUUCCGAGUUCUUUCUUUGUCUUACUUUUGGAAGAGAAAAUUCUGGCUCAGGAAGAGCCAUCUCGUGUUAAAUGCUUCCAGUACCUGUUACUAUUUUCUUGUAGACUUGUCUUGGUCUCUUUGCCUACUUCUUUGUAACCUUCUAGAUUCUAGAAGCCUGGGUCACUUUGCAAACUCCCAUUUUGACCAUUUGCUUCCAAGCAGAGCUCUGGUGAGCAUGGAGAUUCUGAUUUCUGCUGUGGCAACUGAUCUUAUCAGCCGGUUCAUCUCUUCGGUAACACAAAAUUACAGAAACCAUAUACAUAAGGAGGAUGAUCGUAGGAGGCUGGAACGCAUCUUGCUGAGGAUGCACUCUGUUGUUGAGGAAGCAGGGGGACGCCAUAUCACAAAUCAAGGAAUGAUCCUGCAGCUAAAGGGACUUGUUGAGGGAUUCUACCUCGGAUACUACAUGCUCGACAAAAUCAAGUUCCAACCCCCCGAAUAUGAGGUGAGUCAUGAGAUUCAGUCAUUUGCCUUGUCUGCCUGUAACUCUGCCAAGCGCUUUCGUUUUGCUGAUGCCAUAAGCAAACGCACACCAGUAGCCUUUGGUAGCAGGAGCAGAACAAACCUGAAAGAUGUUGUUGAUGGUUUAGAAACUAAGAUUGCAGAUAUGAGGGAAUUUGUCAUUCUCCUUGGUAGCCACCCUCGUCUACCACGCCAGCCUUACAGUACAUAUCUAUACAUAGAUAACUGUAUGUUCGGUCGCCGUAUUGAGAAGGAGCAAGUCAUCAAUUUCUUGCUUUGCAAUGAUCCUCAUGAUCCAUAUGUUAGCAUUCUUCCUAUUAUUGGCCCUCAAAGGAUUGGGAAAAAAACUCUUGUGCAACAUGCUUGCCUGGAUGAGAGGGUGCGCGAUUGCUUCUCCCAUAUAUUUUUCUUUAAAGAAGACGAUCUGAAGACCGGAGAGCUCUCGCUUAACUCCAAGGCUUCUCAAGGGAAAUAUUUAUUUGUUAUUGAGUUCAUUUGGGAUGUGGAUGAGGCAGCUUGGACAAAAUUCCAAUCAUAUUUGCAGAAUAUGCCCGCUACUGGAAUUAAGGUUGUAGUGAUAGGUAGAACAGAGGACAUUGCUAAGUUUGGUACUAGCCAACCCAUCAGGGUGAAGAGGCUAUCUGAAGAAGAGUACUGGUACUACUUCAAGGCACUUGCUUUUGGAAGUAUGGAUCCUGAUGAGCAUCCAAAACUAGCAUCUCUGGCCAUGCAGCUAUCUACUGAGAUGAAUGGAUCAUUUCUUGGUGCAACUAUGUUUGGUGAACUAUUAAGAGCUAAUCCUAACACUCAAUUCUGGAAGAGAAUCUUAUUAUUCUUAAGAGAGCUGGCACGAAAGCACUUGACUUCCUCUGGUCUACACCCUGAGGAUCUUUUCGAAAGAAAUAUCCCUGUUGAUUUGAGCAGGAUAGCCGUUGUGGAUGGUCAAGUUCAAGAUUUCAUGGUUUAUGAUGUUAGGGUGGCUGGCCCUGCAGAAGGUGAGCUACCAAAGCUGACGUCACGAGACAUACUACUGGGUGGUGAUAUUCCUGUUGAAGAUAAGUUUGAUGUGCUGGUCUGGAGAUCUCGCAUUCCACCCUACUGUAACUACAUAGUUACGUAUGAGAAACAAAAACCGCGACGCAUGGUUGGUAAGAGGAACACGAUCUACCUCUGAGAAUAGACAGACACAAAUCUUAAUCUGGGGGAAAAAUUUCUAGAAAGAAAUUACAUUGUCUACGCUUCGACAAUAUAGUUUAGAAGGCUGGGUAUGCCUUUCACAGAUUCUAGCUACUACUGAUUAUUUAGUCAGUUUAGGUGAAAGGAGUAUAUGUGAUGCUAUUGUAGGUUCGGAUGCCUUCUUUCUUAGAGAACUGCUAUUGUAUCUGUUUUUACUAGUUUGGGUAUGUAAAAUUCUGUUAGUUACUAUUGCUACCCUACUAGCGUCAUGUGUGUGACAGAAUAUAGUUCACAAAAGAAGCUAACUUUCUGUUCCUGAAUUCUGACCAUGAUGUCCUGUGUAUGACCAAUUUAAUGUACAACAAUAUCUGUAGUUUCAGUGCCUUCCAUCGGUUGGUUCCAUCAUAGUCACUGCUCCUUCCUUUGUAUAUUCCAACUACUUUAAUUAUAUGUUUGUUUACAGACAUUCCUUUAGAUUGAUUUCUUCCUGGUUUGGUCUCGCAAAUUCGAAGAGGACAUGCUCAUCUCUGUAGUUGCAAAAGUGAUCAUGUCAGCCAUUUCAUCUCCUGUUCUCUGGCAAAAUUUGCAUGUAGGGUGGUUAGUGUGGCUUGUAAUUUCUCUUCCACCCCAACUCACAGUGACUCAACUUUUUUAAUGUCUGGCUGGAUUCUCCAUAUAUCAUGCCAGAUGCCUUGUUUGACAAUCAUGCUGUGGUCAAUGUACAUAACCAGGAAUGACUGGGCUGGUUUACAAAAUAUGUUGCUGACUCAUUUAUUGUUCUAUUUGCAGAUAAGGAGAUAGUUAGACAAAGAAACACUUUCAUUCUACUAGACAAAGUCGUAAAAAUGAAAACUUCUCACAUGCAUGCUGGUAGGAUGUCUAACAAUAAGUCUUUAGUGGGAGAUGAUGGAGGGAGGAGACUUUGGUGGAAGAUGAUGAUGGAUUGAUGGAAGAAAACUUUGGUAGAAGAUGAACCAAACAUGUAGAACAAAAUGCAUGCACUCAUAUAUGAGAUUAUGGGAAGGCCCUUUUGGCCUAAUCAAGUAAAGAGAUAUAUGAGAUUACGGGAAGGCCCUUUUGGCCAGUAAAGAGAAAAUUCCCUACAUAUCCGUAAGUUCUGCCUUAUCCCCUACGUGUCCUCGAGUUUUCAUCUUGAUCUCCUCUACCUUCGUUCCAUUAGUUGACUAUUGGACUUUUUUUUUUUCAAAAAUAACUAUAUUGCCCCUUUCUCAUACUUACAUGCUACCUACUUCAUAAAUCACAGUGUGAAAAAUUGUACUGUAAGUUACAACAAAAUCAAUGGGACAUAAUUAUUUGAUGUAAAAUUUGAAAAACAAAAUUUAAGUUUUUGAAUUUUUUUAUUAAAUCCAUAUAAGAGUUUAAGUCAAAAAUUAAGAACCAAAAUUAUUUAUCUUUUGGGUUUAAAUUUUGGUGAAAAUCUAUACAUAUUUCAUAAAGUUAAUUUGAAAUCUAUUUAGAAAUCUUAAUUAUCUAAAAAAUUGUGAUCAAAUAAUUAUAUUCCCAUUGCUUUUUAUAAAUAAAUAUUUUUCUAAUAUUUUUAGCACAUACUAAGUAUGAGAGGGGGCAGUAUAAUCAAUUUGAAAAAUAUAUAAUGGUCAACUAACAAAACAAGUAUAGAGGAGAUCAAAAUGAAAACUCGGGACAUGCAAAGAGGAUGAGGCAAAAUUCAGGGGCACAUAAGGAAUCGAGUGAAUUCUCAUAGGCACAUGAAAUUCUCUCAAAUAAGUGAUUAAAAAUUUAUGAUGUGAACAAAGUUUGUCAUUCUAUUGCACAAAUCUGUUCAUGAAUCAUGAACACACUACAUGUAUUAUCCAAAUGAUAAUAAUCAUAGGAAGGAUAUGUACCGUGAUCAAAUCAUUAAUUUAUCGCACAGAGAACACAAAGCACAAUUACACGUGUAAAUAAACUGUAAACAAUGUGUAUAUUGAAAUAAUAUUGUGAACUAACUUAAUUUCAUAUCAAAGUUGCCACUUUAGCCUUAUGGCACGUUUAUUAUCAUCCAUGCUAAAAACAUAAUAUAUGUUUACAUUGUUGACACCAAAUAUAGGUAAGUCAGCGGUGGCCAUGGUGGCCAGUGGUGGUGAUGUGUAGCGGAGAUAUGGAGGAUACCUAUGUCUCCACUACUUAGAGCUACUAUAAUAAGUCUAGUCAGUAGGCUGCACCAAAAUCCAUACCAGAUUAAAGCAGGGUUGGAAGAGAGAGAACAUGAAGAGAGAGAAAAGUCGGUGGUAGAUUAAUCGUCGAGCUGCUCGCUUGCCCCCAUCGUUUGGCCAAAUACAGAUAAUAUGCCAUAUGGCGUAUUAGCAAAAUAAUAAUAAUUUGUAGGUAAAACUUUUAUAUAUAUGUUUUUAGCGACUUAAACACCAAUCUUGAAAUAUAAACUUUGAUGAAAAAACUUCAAAAUUAACUUUUAAAAUUUAAAUUUUGGCAUUAACUAUUGAUCUCGCUCUUAAUAAAGUGGAGAACGAUGGGGCCUAUGAGCACAGCGUUGUUGGUCAGCCUUGAUGUCCCCAAGGCAAAAUUGGGUACAAAGAAGAUUUUAUUGGUCUGUUUGCAGUAGAUGGGAGUCUUGGAGAGAAACAUGGCAAAGAGAGAAAAGAGGCAGUUAGCCAAAAGCAAUAAAUUAAUGAAAAUAAAUUAAUGAACUUUCAGAGUUGGGAAACAUGUUAGAAUCAAUUAUUGUAAAAACUAGCUGCUACGUCUACUAUAGCUGAUGUAGAUGAUAUUUAUCACUGUCAGUAGGCUGUACUAUUGAUCUCGCUCUUAAUAAAGGGAGAUGUUGUCCUUUGGUCCCAUCUGUCCUCCACUUCCACUUGAAAAUCUCUUCCUCCCAUAAAAAAAUUUCACCUGAAAAACUAACCAUCUUAUAAAAAACAAACAUCCCACUCGAUCCAAACCUUUCCACUAAACUGAAUAAAAAGACGUUACAAUGCGUAGGUCUAUAACUAAUUGUCUAAAAGAGUCCAGUCCAUUUGAAUCCAAUGAUAUGACCUAUGUAAAUAGAUUUUUUUUUGACAUAUCUAUAAGGAUUCCAUCGAUUAGCUAGCUCGGUAUUAGGAGUAAAACAUUUAUAUAUGUGUACUUAGUAACUUAAAACCAAUGGUGAAAAAAAACUGCGUUAGAAAAAAAUAUGUUUUAAAAUUUAAAGUUUGACGGUUGCUGAAUUCAUGUAAGGCAAACGAUGAGCCGGUCAUAUUAGAGCAUCCCCAGCAGCUCCUCUAUCUAGUCAUCUAUCCAGUGUUUGGCGCAUGGAGGAGAAAAACAGUGCUCCAGCAGAGCCUCCAUUGCACACGCUAUUUUUGGAGGUCCUCCAAACCGAGCCAUUCCCAAGCCAAAUAUGGCGGUUCUCUCUCCUCACGCCAUCCUCAACUGCUCACCUCCCAAUCAAACUCGCGUCACCAUUUGGACAAGAAACCGCGGGAGAGUAGAGGUAAAGAGGAAGUGCAUACCGGAGUAGAGGCGGAGAGGUGGUGGAUCUGGAGGGGGAGAGCACCGGAGUGUCCACCCGCGCCGCCGCUCCUCUGACCGCGUCGCCCCGCUGCUCCUCCGACCGCGCCUCCUCUCCGCCCGGCCGCUCCUCGGACCGACGCCGCCCGGCCGCCCCCACCGCUCGAAGGACCAACGCCGCCUGGCCGUCCCCACCGCUUCUCAACUCCUCCACGCCGCGACCGCCCGCGACCCUGUCGACGGUGCCGCGGCUCCUCUGCACCGCGACCCCACCGCCGAUGCCGUGGCUCCUCCGCUCAGCGACCGACCGCCCGCGCCGCUCCCCGCCCAUGACCCCGCCACCGGUGCCGUGGCUCCUCCCCCCGCGACCCCGCCGCCGAUGCCGCGGCUCCUCCGCCCCGACCGCCCGUGCCGCGCCUCCUCCGCUCGGUGAGCACCGCGCCACCGGUCCUCCUCCGCCCGGCGACUCCCCGCUGUUCCUCCGCCCAACGAGCUCCCGUCGCCCAACCUCUUCCUCCCCCAUCGAAGUAGCAGUAGAAUAGAAUAGAAGAGAGGAUGAGAGGAAAUGUAAAUGUAUGGUAGUUGAAAUAUACAUUAAAAUAUAUAUGAAGGAUGUAAUAUGGAUGAUCUGUUGGAGCGAAGAAAAAUAUGGAGUGAGAAUCUUUUUAGAUGACCAUCUAAAUGUGAAUAUAGAGAAUGAAAUUUAUAUGAGCUACCGGGGAUGCUCUUACUACCGUCUACCAAUGGUACCUCAGUAGUUUUACAAAUAUACCCCUCUUGAUGGAAUUACACAAAAUGAUCCCUUUUACGAUCGUUAAUUCGCUAUGGCACCGAUCCGGAGCUUUGCGGAAAGGUCCCUAUCAUUUCUACAAAUUAUCCUACUAUAGAUGGCGCUUUUUGUACGUUUAGCCCUCGCUUCCCUUCAUCCCGCCGCCGCCGGUCGCCGGGCGGCGGCGGCGGCGAGGUUUCCUCCACUGGUCGCCCCAGAAUUUUAAUAGAGUGCUGGAUCAAGAAGAAACCGGCGUAAAAAAAAAAUCAGUGGAGAACGUAGAGAGAGAUGGAUGGCCGGAGAGGAAGAAGGUGGUUUGACGGAGGCGAGCACGGUGGCUGCAUUUCUCGGCGUUCCCUGGGAUUCUCAUCGGAGGCCGCCGGAUUCAGUGUUCGCUCCGGUCAAUCGCCGCCGCGCCCCCAGGUGAGUCGACACCUCUGGAGCUUUGGAUCUCGCUCUGUUCAUCUUCUUUGGCUGGAUCAGGAUUUAAACGCAUUAUUCCAUUAUUCCUUCGUUCUUGAUAAGGUGGCUUGAACAACUUAAGGAGUUAUUACCAUUUACUCUGUUACAAAGUUAAGGAAUUUACUCAAGGUGUAAGCACUUUGAACCUCACUACAAAUGGUACUGUUUGUAAGCACAUUGAAAAAUAUCUUCCUCUUGGAAGGUUGAGCACAAACUAUUUUACACCUGAAUGCAUGUAAAUUCAUGUCUAUUUCACAGGAAAGUAAGGAACAUAGCUGUUAAAUCAUAUCUAAUUUACCUUUUCGUAAAUGAAGGAAUUACAGCUUUGACAAUUGACGGACCUCAUACUGCAAAAGGCUGGAUGUGCCUUUCACCAAUUCUUUCUCUCUCUCUCUCUCUCUCUCUCUCUCUCUCAGAUAACCUAUUCACCAAUUCUCACCACUACUGCAAGCUAUUCAGAUAGUUCAGGUCAAACUGGUAUAUGUGUCUGUCCUCUAUGUCUGUAUCUAAUAAGUGUUUGAUUUUUGAAAAAAAAGUUCCGUUGUAUCUGCUUUUAUUAAUUUGGAUAGUUAAAAACAGUCAGUUACUAUUGCUGCUCUGACUAGCACUAUAUUCAUGAAAAAAACCAUUUGAAAAGAAACUACUUUAUGCUUCUGAGUUCUGACAGUGGUGUCCUCAUACGAACAAUUCAACGUACAAUGAUAUCUGUUAGUGCCUAAUGUAAACCUGAAAAUGCAUUGUCUUACUUUUUGAAGAGAAAAUUCUGGCUCAGGAAGAGCCAUCUCGUGUGAACUGCUUCCAGUACUUGUUACUAAUUUCUUGUAGACUUGUAUUGUUCUCUUUGCCUACUUCUUUGUAACCUCUAGAAGCCUGAUCACUUUGCAAACUCCCAUUUUGACCUCCAACAGAGCUCUGGUUAGCAUGGAGAUUAUGAUUUCUGCUGUGGCAGGUGAUCUUAUCAGCCGGUUCAUCUCUUCGGUAGCACAAAAUUACAGAAACCAUAUACGUAAGGAGGAUGAUCGUAGGAGGCUGGAACGCAUCUUGCUGAGGAUGCACUGUGUUGUUGAGGAAGCAGAGGGGCGCCACAUCACAAAUCAAGGAAUGCUCCUGCAGCUAAAGGGAUUUAUUGAGGGAUUCUACCUCGGAUACUACGUGCUCGACAAGAUCAAGUUCCAACCCCCUGAAGAAGAAAGCAUCGAAGAUGAGGUGAGUCAUGAGAUUCAGUCAUUUGCCUUGUCAGCCUGUAACUCUCGCAAGCGCUUUCGUUUUGCUGAUGCCAUAAGAAAACACACACCAAUAGCCUUUGGUAGCAGGAGCAGAACAAACCUGAAAGAUGUUGUUGAUGGUUUAGAAACUAAGAUUGCAGAUAUGAGGGAAUUUGUCAUUCUCCUUGGUAGCCACCCUCGUCUACCACGUCAGCCUUACAGUACAUAUCUAUACAUAGAGAAUUGUAUGUUUGGCAGCCGUAUUGAGAAGGAGCAAGUCAUCAAUUUCUUGCUUUGCAAUGAUCCUCAUGAUCCGUAUGUUAGCAUUCUUCCUAUUAUUGGCCCA
rnacentral:lncRNA from 1 species